AACGCGAAGAACCUUACCCGGGCUUGAACUACGGAUGGUAAGUCGCUGGAAACAGUGGCUGACCCGCAAGGGAGUCCGCAGAGGUGCUGCAUGGUUGUCGUCAGCUCGUGUCGUGAGAUGUUGGGUUAAGUCCCGCAACGAGCGCAACCCCUAUUCGAUGUUGCUAAUCCCGCAAGGGAUGCACUCUUCGAAAACUGCCUUCGAUAAGAAGGAGGAAGGUGGGGAUGACGUCAAAUCCUCAUGGCCCUUAUGUCCGGGGCUACACACGUGUUACAAUGGCCGGUACAAUGGGAAGCAAUACCGCAAGGUGGAGCCAAACCCACAAAGCCGGCCCCAGUUCAGAUUGUGGGCUGCAACUCGCCCACAUGAAGGCGGAAUCGCUAGUAAUCGCUGAUCAGCAGGCAGCGGUGAAUACGUUCCCGGGCCUUGUA
rnacentral:rRNA from 1 species